GUCAGCUGUAGCUGGAUGUGUGUCUUGAAAGGCUGACAAGUUUGCCCUGAGUGACUCACCUGUCACCUGAUCCAACAAGAUUUGUGGGCGUAGCCUGCCGAUGGGUGACGCCACUUAAAGGAAAUCACUAAAUUUCUUGAGCAGAGAAGUGCCUCGGUGAUGAACAGUACAAGAGACUAGUUUUGG
rnacentral:sRNA from 1 species